GAUGAACGCUGGCGGCGUGCCUAACACAUGCAAGUCGAACGAAGCACCUUACCUGAUUCUUCGGAUGAAAGUUUGGUGACUGAGUGGCGGACGGGUGAGUAACGCGUGGGUAACCUGCCCUGUACAGGGGGAUAACAGCUGGAAACGGCUGCUAAUACCGCAUAAGCGCACGAGGAGACAUCUCCUUGUGUGAAAAACUCCGGUGGUACAGGAUGGGCCCGCGUCUGAUUAGCUGGUUGGCAGGGUAACGGCCUACCAAGGCAACGAUCAGUAGCCGGUCUGAGAGGAUGAACGGCCACAUUGGAACUGAGACACGGUCCAAACUCCUACGGGAGGCAGCAGUGGGGAAUAUUGCACAAUGGGGGGAACCCUGAUGCAGCAACGCCGCGUGAGUGAAGAAGUAUUUCGGUAUGUAAAGCUCUAUCAGCAGGGAAGAUAAUGACGGUACCUGACUAAGAAGCUCCGGCUAAAUACGUG
rnacentral:rRNA from 1 species